AAUGGGCAUCCCACCCCAGCACUUUCUAGGAAGAAGGGCAACAUUUUGAAGGGCUGGAAGUAGAGAAAGAAGGUUGCGGGUAGAAGACUCCAUACUUUCUGUGACGCCUAUUCCUUAGCCAGAGGCGUGGCUUGCCUGGGCCUCUGGGUGCAGCUGCACAGACUCAAGCAGCCUGAAGGAAAGGUGACUGACAGUUAAUGAUCUGAAAAGAACUUGUCUCAACUCAACGUCAUUCCUGGCAUUAUCGAACAAAGCAAUAAACCUCACAGAAUGGAAGCUACAGUGUCCAGGGCCAGCUCUGCUAAGGUAACCAAAGACAGAGAAGGAGGCAAAAGUGACAGAAGAAACUCAUGGGAAACCAACAGAAAUAUAAUGGCUUUGGCAGAAAUGCAAUUAUCAAUUGGGAGCUUGUGAUGAAUGUUUUCUCAGUAUCCUAUGCUGAAAACAGGUAGAUACUAAUCCCUCCUUCAAGGGAGGGCUGUUGAGUAUUGAAUAAGAUAAAAACAUGGAAGCAAUCAGCACAAUGCUGGAAUCAAGCCUAUCUGUAAUCACAGGGCUAUUUGAAAAAGAGAAGAAAAGGUGUCUUGAAAUUAAACCAACAUGUUUCAAUUAUUUGCUCCUAAGAACAACAGAAGUUUCAACAUUCUGCCAACACAGUAACUCCUGGGAGAUUGGCACAGAAGAAGGCACAAGAAUAUUUAAGCAGCUUUGUCUGCCUUAGACCUUCCACCUAAAAGUACAGCAAGUGGAAUGGAAUGCUAAUAUGAGGAU
rnacentral:antisense_RNA from 1 species